rnacentral:lncRNA from 1 species
GAAUAAUAUGUAUCAAAAAUUUUAAUAAUAAUAUCUAAAAUAUGAGAGUUAUCGGAUAAAGAGUAAUCUCGUAUCGUUUGGUAAUUCUAGUCUUAUGUGUGUGAUUCGAUUUAAAUCUGACGAGAGCAUCAGGAUCUAAUAAUAGAAAGAGUUUGUAACACCCUAACAGAAACCCUAGCAAUAAUAACUGGAUACGAGUAUUUUAGGCCCGAACGAAUUAUUACUGCUAACGGAUCGGAUCUUACAAUACCCAUAGCAGCAGUCACACUCGAAU